UCAGUCAUUCAAUACGUCACCGGUCACCGGAAAAUUUUCGUAACUUUGUCAUUAUGCCAAAUUCACUUUUAGCCAAAUUCGCCGAUCAAUCACUGCUGAAUUGUUCCAUCACAACCGAUGGUUCUUUGUUUCAACUUGGUGUGAUCGCAGAUUGUAAAUUAGAUACAUGCAGAAUAACUGCAUUAGUAAUUGGCUACAUUUGUUUGGGAUUGCUAGUCUUAUACAUUUGGUACAUUGUAAUUGUCAAACUAAUGAGAAACCUUGGACUAUGCUAGCCAAUCAAUCGGAAU